AAAAGCAAUUGCAAUAUAUCUAACAUGCAGUGGGUCUCUCUUUGUUGACCACUGAACUGCAUCUUCAGAAUGAAUCAUCAUUUUGACACUGGAACCACAUGGACUCACUACUUGUUUACACUAUAGGCUUCUCUGUCGCUACUUUACAUAGACCCAUUAUUUGGGUCAUAGAAAUAACCAGACAGCUCAUCCACAUGGUUGAGGUUACUCCUGUGGCCCCCAUGCCAUGUACAAACCCUAAUAUAUAAUACAUCGAAUCCUAUAUAUUCAUCAAUAUAUAGAGAGAAGAAAACAAGAUUAUUGCCCCUAAUAAACCCUAAUGUAAAUGAUGAAUUUCAACUUGUAACUUCUUGCACUACACUGCCAGAUCAACAUUUUUAAUCAUUA
rnacentral:misc_RNA from 1 species